UACGGGGGGAGCAAGCGUUGUUCGGAUUUACUGGGCGUAAAGGGCGCGUAGGCGGCCACCGCAAGUCGGCUUGUGAAAGCCCGGGGCUCAACCCCGGAGGUGCGGCCGGGACUGCUUGGCUGGAGGCCGGAAGAGGAGGGUGGAAUACCCAGUGUAGAGGUGAAAUUCGUAGAUAUUGGGUGGAACACCGGUGGCGAAAGCGGCUCUCUGGUCCGGUUCUGACGCUGAGGCGCGAAAGCGUGGGGAGCAAACAGG
rnacentral:rRNA from 1 species